rnacentral:rRNA from 1 species
GACGUAGGGGGCCAGCGUUGUUCGGAAUUACUGGGCGUAAAGCGCGUGUAGGCGGCUUUACAAGUCGGAUGUGAAAGCCCACGGCUCAACCGUGGAAGUGCAUCCGAAACUGUAUCGCUGGAGUCCCGGAGAGGAAGGUGGAAUGCUUGGUGUAGAGGUGAAAUUCGUAGAUAUCAAGCAGAACACCUGCGGCGAAGGCGGCCCUCUGGACGGUGACUGACGCUGAGACGCGAAAGCGUGGGGAGCAAACAGG